AGAGUUUGAUCCUGGCUCAGGAUGAACGCUAGCUAUAGGCUUAACACAUGCAAGUCGAGGGGAAACGGCAUUAUGUGCUUGCACAUUUUGGACGUCGACCGGCGCACGGGUGAGUAUCGCGUAUCCAACCUUCCCUCCACUCGGGGAUACCCCGUUGAAAGACGGCCUAAUACCCGAUGUUGUCCACAUAUGGCAUCUGACGUGGACCAAAGAUUCAUCGGUGGAGGAUGGGGAUGCGUCUGAUUAGCUUGUUGGUGCGGGUAACGGCCCACCAAGGCUACGAUCAGUAGGGGUUCUGAGAGGAAGGUCCCCCACAUUGGAACUGAGACACGGUCCAAACUCCUACGGGAGGCAGCAGUGAGGAAUAUUGGUCAAUGGACGGAAGUCUGAACCAGCCAAGUAGCGUGCAGGAUUGACGGCCCUAUGGGUUGUAAACUGCUUUUGUUGGGGAGUAAAGUGGGGCACGCGUGCCUUUUUGCAUUUACCCUUCGAAUAAGGACCGGCUAAUUCCGUGCCAGCAGCCGCGGUAAUACGGAAGGUCCAGGCGUUAUCCGGAUUUAUUGGGUUUAAAGGGAGUGUAGGCGGCCUGUUAAGCGUGUUGUGAAAUUUAGGUGCUCAACAUCUACCUUGCAGCGCGAACUGGCGGACUUGAGUGCACGCAACGUAUGCGGAAUUCAUGGUGUAGCGGUGAAAUGCUUAGAUAUCAUGACGAACUCCGAUUGCGAAGGCAGCGUACGGGAGUGUUACUGACGCUUAAGCUCGAAGGUGCGGGUAUCGAACAGGAUUAGAUACCCUGGUAGUCCGCACGGUAAACGAUGGAUGCCCGCUGUUAGCGCCUGGCGUUAGCGGCUAAGCGAAAGCAUUAAGCAUCCCACCUGGGGAGUACGCCGGCAACGGUGA
rnacentral:rRNA from 1 species